rnacentral:rRNA from 1 species
CCUACGGGUGGCAGCAGUGAGGAAUAUUGGGCAAUGGACGAGAGUCUGAACCAGCCAAGUAGCGUGAAGGAUGACUGCCCUAGGGGUUGUAAACUUCUUUUAUAGAGGAAUAAAACGAGGCACGCGUGCCUUUUUGCAUGUACUUUAUGAAUAAGGAUCGGCUAACUCCGUGCCAGCAGCCCGGGUAAUACGGAAGGUCACGGCGUUAACCGGACUUAUUGGGUUUAAAGGGAGCGUAGGCCGGUCUGUAAGCGGGCCGUGAAAUUUUGUGGCUCAACCAUGAGAGUGCGGCGGAAACUGGAGACCUUGAGUGCGCGGAAGGCAGGCGGAAUUCGUGGUGUAGCGGUGAAAUGCUUAGAUAUCACGAAGAACCCCGAUUGCGAAGGCAGCCUGCCGCAGCGUUACUGACGCUGAAGCUCGAAAGCGCGGGUAUCGAACAGGAUUAGAUACCCGUGUAGUC